rnacentral:rRNA from 1 species
AUACGUAGGGUGCGAGCGUUAAUCGGAAUUACUGGGCGUAAAGCGUGCGCAGGCGGUUUUGUAAGUCAGAUGUGAAAUCCCCGGGCUUAACCUGGGAACUGCGUUUGAAACUGCAAGGCUAGAGUGUGGCAGAGGGGGGUGGAAUUCCGCGUGUAGCAGUGAAAUGCGUAGAGAUGUGGAGGAACACCGAUGGCGAAGGCAGCCCCCUGGGUUAACACUGACGCUCAGGCACGAAAGCAUGGGGAGCAAACAGGAUUAGAUACCCCAGUAGUCC